AAUUCACCGGUUCUCGUACGAUCAUCGAAGUUAAACAACGUCGAGCCUCGUCAGUAUCUAGAUGGGUGACCGCUUCGGAAUACCAGGUGCUAUA